AUGGAUGCGAGUGCACGGGCAAGCUACAUCAAGAAGAUGCAUGAAGAUACAAGACACACCAUCGAGCGCCAAGUACAACAACUAGCGACCAAGCUUAACAUCAACAAUCAACCCAUGGUAUUCAACAUUGGAGACCUCGUGUGGCUACACCUUCGCAAGGACCGCUUCCCCAACGAACGCAAGUCUAAGCUUCUCCCUCGAGCCGACGGACCCUUCAAGGUGCUAGCACGCUACAACGACAAUGCCUACAAGAUUGAACUCCCACGAGACAAGUACACCGUGAGCGACAUCUUCAACGUCAAAGACCUCGCGCCUUUCCAUGGUGAUGCAGAUUUUGAUCCGAGGUCGGAUCUUUCCCAAGGGAGGGGAGAUGAUGCGGAGCAUCCUUCCAUCAUCCCCAUGGACUCUACUUCGACUACACUUGCUCCAAGAGGACCCAUGACAAGAGCCCGAGCACGUGCCAUCCAAUCCGAGGUUAACUCUCUCCUUGUUGAAUUCCCCUUUGACACAUUUGAGACAUGGCUACUACCUCAAAUGGAGACACUUUGUGUGCUCAGGUACCAUGAAAGCAGCCAAGGAGAAGGAGUGGUGCAAGAUGGACAUCCAGAUCAAGGAGGCAUUCCACCCAGUCUGGGAGGACCGGUACAACCACCCAACCACCGCCUGGGCGGAACAGCCAGCCAGCCACCGCCCAACAACCGGCCGCUAUUCUGUGAGCAAGCGGUGCAAGGCCGGUACAGCACCGGUUCUACCGGUUUCUGCCCAAAGACCGGAACAACCGCCCCAACCUCCGGUACAACCGCUAGCUCCUUCGACGACCACCUCCAGAAGCCAGCGCCUGACCCCCAGCGGUAG
rnacentral:rRNA from 1 species